AUGUCUUGCAACUGUGGAUCCGGUUGCAGCUGCGGCUCAGACUGCAAGUGCGGGAAGAUGUACCCUGAUCUGACGGAGCAGGGCAGCGCCGCCGCCCAGGUCGCCGCCGUGGUCGUCCUCGGCGUGGCGCCUGAGAACAAGGCGGGGCAGUUCGAGGUGGCCGCCGGGCAGUCCGGCGAGGGCUGCAGCUGCGGCGACAACUGCAAGUGCAACCCCUGCAACUGUUAA
rnacentral:rRNA from 1 species